rnacentral:rRNA from 1 species
GACGAACGCUGGCGGCGUGCUUAACACAUGCAAGUCGAACGGAAAGGCCCUGCUUGCAGGGUACUCGAGUGGCGAACGGGUGAGUAACACGUGGGUGAUCUGCCCUGCACUUCGGGAUAAGCUUGGGAAACUGGGUCUAAUACCGGAUAGGAGCCAUCUUUAGUGUGGUGGUUGGAAAGUUUUUUCGGUGUAGGAUGAGCUCGCGGCCUAUCAGCUUGUUGGUGGGGUAAUGGCCUACCAAGGCGGCGACGGGUAGCCGGCCUGAGAGGGUGUACGGCCACAGUGGGACGGAGAUACGGCCCAGACUCCUACGGGAGGCAGCAGUGGGGAAUAUUGCACAAUGGGCGCAAGCCUGAUGCAGCGACGCCGCGUGGGGGAUGAAGGCCUUCGGGUUGUAAACUCCUUUCGCUAGGGACGAAGCUUUGUUGUGACGGUACCUAGAGAAGAAGCACCGGCUAACUACGUG